CUGGGCAGAAGCCCCAGAAGAGUAAAGUCUUCCAGAUUUAGACCACACCAUCCUGGACAGAAUGGUGGGACAGUUCUCCCCUGCCCACUACUGGAGGGACAAGCCACCAGGAGCAGAGGAGCAACACCCCCCCCCCAUUGCUUCCAUCUCUAAACCUUCCAGAGUUCCAGCCUCUCUCAUCCUCUUAGCCCACAGAGAUGGAAAAGUCAGGCACAGCUUCCAUGUCAGUGACUUAUGCUCACCAAAUGCGGACACCUGUGGAGUGAAGGAAAUAGCCUGCUUGCCUGACACAGAAUGGAGUCAAUACAUGGUGGUGAACAGGUCCUCAGGAGUGGGGGUGUAGGCUGGCCCGCCCCCAGCAUGUCCAUCAAGCUCCCCCCUCCACAAGGCCCUCCAUGCAGCACCUAUGGGUGUCAGUAUUACCUAAGCAUAGGCCAAAGCCAGCCCAGGGCUGGAGGGAGGAGAUUCCAGGUCAGAAUGUGAGGUCUUGGUCUGUGAUUUGAGGUGUUGCAUGUGGAAUCCUGAACUGUACGUGUAGUUUUUAGUGGCGAAAUCAAGGCUCUGAUCAUUUUGUUUUUAGUAUGAAAAUGUGAUUUCCUUUCUGUUUGUCACUCAUCAUAGAAACAUUGUGGUGGGAGGAGAGGGGAUAGUCUACUGCUAAUGAGGGAGACACCAAAGAUCUACAUCAUUAAAAUGAUGACACGC
rnacentral:lncRNA from 1 species